UGCAAGUCGAACGAUGAAGCCCUUCGGGGUGGAUUAGUGGCGAACGGGUGAGUAACACGUGGGCAAUCUGCCCUGCACUCUGGGACAAGCCCUGGAAACGGGGUCUAAUACCGGAUGAUAUCCCCUCUCGCAUGGGAGGGGGUUGAAAGCUCCGGCGGUGCAGGAUGAGCCCGCGGCCUAUCAGCUAGUUGGUGAGGUAGAAGCUCACCAAGGCGACGACGGGUAGCCGGCCUGAGAGGGCGACCGGCCACACUGGGACUGAGACACGGCCCAGACUCCUACGGGAGGCAGCAGUGGGGAAUAUUGCACAAUGGGCGAAAGCCUGAUGCAGCGACGCCGCGUGAGGGAUGACGGCCUUCGGGUUGUAAACCUCUUUCAGCAGGGAAGAAGCGAAAGUGACGGUACCUGCAGAAGAAGCGCCGGCUAACUACGUGCCAGCAGCCGCGGUAAUACGUAGGGCGCAAGCGUUGUCCGGAAUUAUUGGGCGUAAAGAGCUCGUAGGCGGCUUGUCACGUCGGUUGUGAAAGCCCGGGGCUUAACCCCGGGUCUGCAGUCGAUACGGGCAGGCUAGAGUGUGGUAGGGGAGAUCGGAAUUCCUGGUGUAGCGGUGAAAUGCGCAGAUAUCAGGAGGAACACCGGUGGCGAAGGCGGAUCUCUGGGCCAUUACUGACGCUGAGGAGCGAAAGCGUGGGGAGCGAACAGGAUUAGAUACCCUGGUAGUCCACGCCGU
rnacentral:rRNA from 1 species